rnacentral:rRNA from 1 species
UACGGAAGGUCCGGGCGUUAUCCGGAUUUAUUGGGUUUAAAGGGAGCGUAGGCCGCGUUUUAAGCGUGUUGUGAAAUGUAGACGCCCAACGUCUGCAUCGCAGCGCGAACUGGGACGCUUGAGUACGCGCAACGUUGGCGGAAUUCGUCGUGUAGCGGUGAAAUGCUUAGAUAUGACGAGGAACUCCGAUUGCGAAGGCAGCUGACGGGAGCGGCACUGACGCUUAAGCUCGAAGGUGCGGGUAUCAAACAGGAUUAGAUACCCUAGUAGUCC